rnacentral:rRNA from 1 species
CGAGAAGCCUUGUUUUCGGAUAAGUGGAGAGUGGCGCACGGGUGCAGUAACACGUAACUAAUCUGCCUCAGAGAGCGGGAUAACGCGUCGAAAGAUGUGCUAAUACCGCAUAAGCUCACGAUUUGUAGAGGAUAGUGAGAAAAACUCCGGUGCUCUGAGAUGAGGUUGCGGUCCAUCAGCUAGUUGGUGAGGUAAAAGCUUACCAAGGCGACGACGGAUAGGGGGCCUGAGAGGGUGACCCCCCACACUGGGACUGAGACACGGCCCAGACUCCUACGGGAGGCAGCAGUGAGGAAUAUUGCGCAAUGGACGAAAGUCUGACGCAGCGACGCCGCGUGGGUGAUGAAGGUUUUCGGAUCGUAAAGCCCUUUUCUUGGUGACGAAAAGGACGGUAGCCAAGGAAUAAGUGUCGGCUAACUACGUGCCAGCAGCCGCGGUAAAACGUAGGACGCAAGCGUUAUCCGGAAUUACUGGGCGUAAAGCGCGCGCAGGCGGGUUAUCAAGUCAUGUGUGAAAGCUCCCGGCUAAACUGGGAGAGGUCAGAUGAUACUGAUAGCCUGGAGUGCAUCAGAGGUAAGUGGAAUUCCGCGUGUAGUGGUGAAAUGCGUAG